rfam:Trichobilharzia regenti genome assembly, scaffold: TRE_scaffold0000754
AUCCAGUUGACGAAUCCCAAAUAGGAUGAAAUGCGCGUCCUAGUAU